GGUCGGAGACCUGAACGGUAUGCAUUGGCCCUGUGAAAAUCCAGGUUCAAGGAACACAUUGUUCCCUCAAAAAACAGACCGGCAGCUGAGAGAGGAUGGCAAUCCUGAUGGAUGAGAAAAAGAACAGAGCUGUGGACACCUGAGAGAAGACUAUAGGACUUCAAACAUCAACCCAUUUCAGUUCUGAUGUCAGCAAGGAGAGAACUGGCAAACUGGGCCAACCGUUUGA
rnacentral:lncRNA from 10 species